rnacentral:rRNA from 1 species
GACGAACGCUGGCGGCGUGCUUAACACAUGCAAGUCGAACGGAAAGGCCCUGCUUGCAGGGUGCUCGAGUGGCGAACGGGUGAGUAACACGUGGGUGAUCUGCCCCUUACUUUGGGAUAAGCCUGGGAAACUGGGUCUAAUACUGGAUAGGACCAUGCUGUAGGUGGUGUGGUGGAAAGAUUAGUUUCGGUAAGGGAUGAGCUCGCGGCCUAUCAGCUUGUUGGUGGGGUAAUGGCCUACCAAGGCGUCGACGGGUAGCCGGCCUGAGAGGGUGGACGGCCACAUUGGGACUGAGAUACGGCCCAGACUCCUACGGGAGGCAGCAGUGGGGAAUAUUGCACAAUGGGCGCAAGCCUGAUGCAGCGACGCCGCGUGGGGGAUGACGGCCUUCGGGUUGUAAACUGCUUUCAGCCAUGACGAAGCCCUUGUGGUGACGGUAGUGGUAGAAGAAGCACCGGCUAACUACGUG